CAGCCUAGGCGCCCCGCGGGCAUCCUCGGGCCGGGCUGCAGGGACCCCCGCUCCCCUUCCUCACCUAAAUUCCUCGCUGCGCCCCUCCCUCCCUGGCGCCUGGAGCCGCAUCCAGCCCGCGGUUGCCAGACCUGGGUGGCGUGCGGUCCUCCCCAGCCCCCGGCUUAGGUUCCUGCGUCCCCAGUCCUACCUCCCCUCUUUUGUAUCCCCUUUAGUCCCCUUCCCCCCCAUUCAAGCCAACUUCAGCCCCGGCGCUGCGCCCCCCUCCCGGGCCGGGCUCGAUUGGCCGCUGCAGGAGCUGUCAGACUUGAGUCCGGCGCUCUCAUUGGGCGAUUCUCGGGCCCGGCGGCCGUGCCAAAGGAGGGCGCACCCGGCGGGGGGCGGCCGGGCAGAGACAGCCGCAGGGAGACGGAGACAGAGUCCCUGGAGGGGUCGGAGGGGCUUGAGAACCAGACCCGGAAAUGGACGGGGGAGAUGCAGAGACAGGACCUCUGAGGCGCAGGAAGACAGCGACGGAAAAGAUGGAGAUACAGUGGCGGGGAGACAAGAAGCAGGAACGGUGCAGAGGAACUUGGCCUGUGGAAUGACGUGUCUACCCAGUUCCCUUUGCCCCUAAGCUGUCCUGCCUGAGGUUCUGGCAAUCUAAACAGUGGGAGAGUUGGGGGACCACAUCUCUACGCAGGGUAGAGGUCAUCUCUGCAGACCGGAAGAUAAACCUUGCUAGAGUCACAAAUUGGGAGGAGGAAAAUUCCCAGAGAUCUGAAUAAAAUAACCCCUGAGUAAUCCAUGAUUGGCUAAGUUGUAAAAAGGAACAUGAAUUUAGUCAACAAAAAUUCUUGAGCAUCCUCAAUGUGCAAAGCACUGUGCUAGUUGCUACCAGGAUAGAAAGAUGACCAAACUCUACUAGGAACUUACAGUCAGGGAGGGAAAAGAGCUAACCACUACUUCUAGGUCAGAGCAAAGUUCAAGUGUUCAACAGAGGUCCAAACAGCACAUUGGGUGUUGAGAGAAGGGAAACAUCACUUCCCACUGAAGGCCCAAAAAAGGCUCUGGAGGUCAAGUCUGAGUCCGGCAGGGAAGGAUGAAUAAGA